rnacentral:rRNA from 1 species
UUGGAGGGCAAGUCUGGUGCCUGCAGCCGCGGUAAUUCCAGCUCCAAUAGCGUAUAUUAAAGUUGUUGCAGUUAAAAAGCUCGUAGUUGAAUUUCGGGGUUAGUAGGUUGGUCAUGCCUCUGGUAUGUACUGGUCUCACUGAUUCCUCCUUCCUGAUGAACCUUAAUGCCAUUUAUUUGGUGUUUUGGGGAAUUUGGACUGUUACUUUGAAAAAAUUAGAGUGUUUAAAGCAAGCUAACGCUUGAAUACAUUAGCACGGAAUAAUGAAAUAGGACGUUCGACCCUAUUUUGUUGGUUUCUAGGAUUGACGUAAUGAUUAAUAGGGAUAGUUGGGGGCAUUAGUAUUCAAAUGUCAGAGGUGAAAUUCUUGGAUUUAUUGAAGACUAACUACUGCGAAAGCAUUCGCCAAGGAUGUUUUCAUUAAUCAAGAACGAAAGUUAGGGGAUCGAAGACGAUCAGAUACCGUCGUAGUCUUAACCAUAAACUAUGCCGACUAGGGAUCGGAUGAUGUUAAUUUUUUAAUGACUCAUUCGGCGCCUACGGGAAACCAAAGUGUUUGGGUUC